rnacentral:lncRNA from 1 species
CCUGCUGGGUAAACCUUCCGGUCCUACCCACGCCGACCUUCCGGUCCAUAACACAACAUAUUGCCUUCCGGCCCAUAACAUAUUGCCUUCCGGCCCAUAACAUAUUGCCUUCCGGCCCAUAACAUAUUGCCUUCCGGCCCAUAAGCAUAAAAUGCAUAUAUAACAUAACAAAUAAUCAUAUAGCAGUUCAUAGACAACAAUCGAUCAACAGAUCACAUAUCAUAGCAUUACUCUAAACAAGAUACCGGUCUAGCCGGUCACUAGCAUAACAUUACCCUACGAAUCAGUCAACAUACUAAAUGCAUAC